rnacentral:lncRNA from 1 species
GGAAGAGCAACCCAAGGUGAAGACACAAGGUGUGUACAAUUCUGGGGGCAUACCUCAACAACGGAAAGACUAGUGAGGCUGGCCCAGGAAUGGGGAACCGAACUGGCAGAUACAAGAUCAGCUCAACACUGGACAAGUAAAAUUCUUUGACUAAGAUGCAGAAAAUAUUGCUGUAAACCCAACAGUACAAGCUGAGAGUGAUGUCUUCUGGCUUUCAAGUUUUAAAACCUGUAUGCCCUUGAUCCUACUCCUUCCUCCACUAUUCACCUCCUUGGAAAUCUGAGAGACAUUCAUGUCCCAGGAGUGACCAGCUUGAAGAGAGCUGAAACCCAGCCCCAUUGCACAGCUGGCUCCCAAGGAUCUAUCUUGGCACCCAGCUAACUUCUCUACCCUGGAGGAUCAGGUGAAAGAAAAACACCAGAUGGGAAGAAAAGUGGAGAGAAUGAUUGAGCCUGGAACCUCAGCAUGGCAUUAUCCACAUGGGCUGUUUUAUCAGUAUGCCUUUUUGUAACCCCAGAUAAGGGAAAACUGUAGCCAGAAAAAGAUGAAAACAGGGAAAUUCAACCAUUGCAGGCAUUUAUUCUUAUCUUUUGUUUUUAUAAAGAAUGACAAAUAAUCUGAGCGUAUAAAAAUCAUUGCUUUGCAUGAAAC